UAAUACGGGAGGCAGCAGUAGGGAAUCUUCCGCAAUGGACGAAAGUCUGACUGAGCGACGCCGCGCGAGCGAUGAAUGACUUCGGGUCGUAAAGAUCUGUUGUCAGGGAAGAACAAGUACCGGAGUAACUGCCGGCACCUUGAGGGAACCUGACCCGAAAGCCACGGCUAACUAAGUGCCAGCCGCCGCGGUAAUACAUACGUGGCAAGCGUUGUCCGGAAUUAUUGGGCGGAAAGCGCGCGCACGCCGUUCCUUAAUUAUGAUGUGAAAGCCCCCGGCUCAACCGGGGAGGGAUAUUGGUAACUGGGGAACUUGAUUGCCGAAGAAGAAAGCGGUAUUCCCCCUGUAGCCGUGAAAUGCUCUACAAAGUUUGAGGAACACCACUGGCGAAGGCGGCUCUCUGGUCUUGUACUGACGCUGAAGGGCCAAAGCGAGGGGAGGGAACAAGAUUAGAUACCCUGGUGAUCCCACCCCGCAAACAAAGAUGGCUAAGGGGUAAAAGGUUUCCCCCCCUU
rnacentral:rRNA from 1 species